rnacentral:rRNA from 1 species
GCACGGUGGAUGCCUUGGCACUAGGAGCCGAUGAAGGACGGGGCAAACGCCGAAACGCUCCGGGGAGCUGUAAGCAAGCGUUGAUCCGGAGAUGUCCGAAUGGGGGAACCCCCUGUCCGUAAUGGGACAGGAUCCAUGCCUGAAUCCAUAGGGCAUGGAGGGCACACCCGGGGAACUGAAACAUCUUAGUACCCGGAGGAGAAGAAAGCAAACGCGAUUCCCUGAGUAGCGGCGAGCGAAACGGGAACAGCCCAAACCAAGAGGCGUGCCUCUUGGGGUUGUAGGACCGCUCAUAUGGGAGUGAGAAAGGAACGGGGUAGACGAACCGGUCUGGAACGGCCGGCCAGAGAAGGUGAGAGCCCUGUAGUCGAAACUUCGUUCCCUCCCGAGCGGCUCCUGAGUACGGCGGGACACGGGAAAUCCCGUCGGAAGCAGGGAGGACCAUCUCCCAAGGCUAAAUACUCCCUAGUGACCGAUAGUGAACCAGUACCGUGAGGGAAAGGUGAAAAGCACCCCGGAAGGGGAGUGAAAGAGAACCUGAAACCGUGUGCCUACAAGUAGUCAGAGCCCGUUCAUGGGUGAUGGCGUGCCUUUUGUAGAAUGAACCGGCGAGUGACGAUGGCGUGCGAGGUUAAGCCAGGAAGGCGGAGCCGCAGCGAAAGCGAGUCUGAACAGGGCGCAUGAGUACGUCGUCGUCGACCCGAAACCAGGUGAUCUACCCAUGUCCAGGGUGAAGGCCGGGUAACACCGGCUGGAGGCCCGAACCCACGCACGUUGAAAAGUGCGGGGAUGAGGUGUGGGUAGGGGUGAAAUGCCAAUCGAACUUGGAGAUAGCUGGUUCUCCCCGAAAUAGCUUUAGGGCUAGCCUCAAGG